rnacentral:rRNA from 1 species
UACGGGGGGAGCAAGCGUUGUCCGGAAUCAUUGGGCGUAAAGAGCGUGUAGGCGGCCCGGUAAGUCCGCUGUGAAAGUCGGGGGCUCAACCCUCGAAUGCCGGUGGAUACUGUCGGGCUCGAGUGCGGAAGAGGCGAGUGGAAUUCCUGGUGUAGCGGUGAAAUGCGCAGAUAUCAGGAGGAACACCAAUGGCGAAGGCAGCUCGCUGGGACGGUACUGACGCUGAGACGCGAAAGCGUGGGGAGCAAACAGG